rnacentral:misc_RNA from 1 species
CCUCCGUAGGUGAACCUGCGGAGGGAUCAUUACAGAGUUCUCGCCCUCGCGGGUAGAUCUCCCACCCACUGUUAUCGUUACUGUGUUGCUUUGGCGGGCCGCCGGGCCCCGCUCGGCCGCCGGCUCCGGCCGGCGCGCGCCCGCCAGAGGCCCAGCAAACUCUGAAUGUUAGUGUCGUCUGAGUACUAUAUAAUAGUUAAAACUUUCAACAACGGAUCUCUUGGUUCUG